rnacentral:tRNA from 1 species
GGAGAUGUAUCGAAGUGGUCAUAACGGGCCUGACUCGAAAUCAGGUAGCCUGCAAGGGCUCGUGGGUUCGAAUCCCACCGUCUCCGCCA